AUUCCAUUAAUAUUCAGUUCAGAAGAAGCUGGCUGGACUCAUCCAUGUGACCUGAGAUUGGCCAAUCGACAGUGGCUGCUGGCCAAGACCUUGCCUCUUGAGUGAGUGACUCAAAGACAAAGGGAUACUAAGAUUGAAUCACAGCAGUGGUGCGCAGUGUUGCUGGGGGCAGCAGCUGUUGUUGCUCUUUCUUGGUGGAGCUGUCCUUGUGCCUGUUUGUUUUCCAAGCCUGCACUCCUGUUGUAGCUCAGGGGCCCUUGUAACAUAUUUCUCUUUUGCUUGCCAUGAUUACUUCACCAGUCUGUGAGCUCCUCGAGAGCAG
rnacentral:lncRNA from 1 species